ACAUCCGGGCAGCCGCUGGCACAAGCCAGAGGAAAGUCCAUGCUCGCACCGCCUGUGAUGGCGGUAGUGAUUGUGCUGGUCCAAUCAAUAAGGCCAGGCAGCCUAUGGCUGACGGCGGAACCGAUCCUAAAGGCUCGUCCCAUGGUGAGGUUCCAUAAAGCGUCACAGUGACGAAGCCGGCGGGAAACCGACCGGGUGGAACGCGAUAAGCCCCGCAAGCGAGAAAUCCAAAUUUGGUAGGAGAACUCCCCGAAGCAAAACGAAGCCAGAAGGGAGGAGCCGCAAGGCUCAGAUAAAUGGCUGCCAUCCGGGCGACCGGAGACAGAACAUGGCUUACAGAG
rnacentral:RNase_P_RNA from 1 species